AGUAAGAGCCACAUGGUCUACCACCCUGUUCUGUAGCCAAAUUCAUUGUCAUACCAGGAAAUGAGCUUGACAAAGUGAUCAUUGCGGGCCAUGCCAGCCCUGGCAUCGAAGGUACGGGAGGGCGUGGUAAAGAUACCCCUGGGCGCCAUGGCACAAUCCACACCGGCAUCACCCAUUUGAUGCUGGCAGAGUCUUACUGCUGGAAGAUGGAGAUAGGCUUUCCAUUGAUGACAAGCUUCGCGUUCUCAGCCUUGACUAUGCCUUUGAACUUGCCAUGAGUAGACUCAUGCCGGAAUGUGUAGGCCAUGUAGUUGAGGUCAAUGAAAGGGUCAUUGAUGGUGACAGUAUCCACUUUGGCAGCCCUGGUGACCAGGCACCAAAUACAGCUAAAUCGGUUCACUCCAACCUUCACCAUCUUUCUCAGGGGUGCAACUGCUUUUACCUGGCUGGGCAGGAAGAUGCAGCCAUCUGUCAUAUGGGAGGAGCAGAGAGCUUUGGGUGAUUUUUAAUAGCGUAGGCCUGUCAUGAGCUUUUCAGUCUGGAGUUUGAUGGAUGAGGACAGUGUUACGACAUUGGCCUCCAGGCCCAGAUCUUACUCUGGGUGUUGUCUCGUGAAAGCAGAAUCCCCAGGACUGCUCUGUUGGCUCAGCCCAUCGGUUUGGGAGAAUAUGGUGGUUCUGGUCCCACCCUGUUUCCUGCCACGGCCCCUUGUUCAGGAGAAAUGUCAACCAGUUUUCUC